GACGUUUGAGAUGGUUUCUUCCAGUGGGCGGGGCCCCAAGAAGGAAUUGAUUUACCUCCAGUCAGUAUAGAUCUGUUCUUCCUAGACAGUUACUUUCUAGCUGUUAGCAGUAAACCUGGGAAUAAUAAGGAUGGCAAGUGUAUCCAGAGUCCUGACCAAGAGGUUUUUAUUAGCUAAAGCCCUCCCUGCAGCAGCCCGAUGUAGCUCCAGGAACAUCCACUUCUCCAUCUAUGGGAAGAAGGACAACGCCAAAGUGUCAGAUGAUAUCUCAACCCAGUACCCGGUAGUGGAUCAUGAGUUUGAUGCGGUGGUGGUAGGGGCUGGGGGAGCAGGUCUGAGAGCUGCUUUUGGUCUGUCUGAGGCUGGCUUCAACACGGCCUGUGUCACCAAGCUGUUCCCUACUAGGUCUCACACUGUGGCAGCACAGGGUGGGAUCAAUGCAGCCCUGGGUAACAUGGAGGGAGAUGAUUGGAGGUGGCACUUCUACGACACAGUGAAGGGAUCUGAUUGGCUAGGGGACCAGGAUGCUAUCCACUACAUGACAGAGCAGGCCCCAGCUGCCGUGGUGGAGCUGGAGAACUUUGGAAUGCCCUUCAGUCGGACAGAGGAUGGGAAGAUCUAUCAGAGGGCCUUCGGGGGUCAGAGCCUGAAGUUUGGAAAGGGAGGCCAAGCACACCGAUGCUGCUGUGUAGCUGACAGGACUGGACACUCCCUUCUUCACACAUUGUAUGGACGGUCCUUAAGGUACGAUACCAGCUACUUUGUGGAGUACUUUGCCCUGGAUCUGCUGAUGGAGGAUGGUGAAUGCAAAGGAGUGAUCGCUCUCUGUAUGGAGGAUGGAUCCAUCCACCGCUUUAGAUCCAACAACACUGUCAUCGCUACUGGUGGUUAUGGCCGUACCUACUUCAGCUGUACCUCAGCCCACACCAGCACCGGGGAUGGCAACGCCAUGGUAACCAGAGCUGGCCUACCAUGCCAGGACCUGGAGUUUGUACAGUUCCACCCCACCGGUAUCUAUGGUGCCGGCUGCCUCAUCACUGAGGGUUGCCGUGGCGAGGGAGGGAUCCUCAUCAACAGUGAAGGAGAGCGCUUUAUGGAACGCUACGCUCCCAACGCCAAAGAUCUGGCCUCCCGGGAUGUGGUGUCACGCUCCAUGACCAUUGAGAUCCGCGAGGGAAGGGGUUGUGGUCCAGAAAAGGACCAUGUGUACCUGCAGUUGCAUCACCUGCCCCCCCAGCAGCUGGCCACCCGCCUGCCUGGUAUCUCUGAGACCGCCAUGAUCUUCGCUGGGGUUGACGUCACCAAAGAGCCCAUCCCUGUCCUGCCCACCGUCCACUACAACAUGGGAGGAAUCCCCACCAACUAUAAGGGACAGGUCAUAACUCAUCCAGAUGGGGAGGACAAGGUGGUGCCAGGGCUGUAUGCCUGUGGUGAGGCUGCCUGUGCCAGUGUCCACGGUGCCAACCGGCUGGGUGCCAACUCCCUGCUGGAUCUGGUGGUGUUUGGCAGAGCCUGUGCCCUCACCAUCGCUGACACCUGCACUCCAGGUGAGAAGCUUUCCCCACUGAAGCCCAGUGCUGGAGAGGAGUCUGUGGCCAACCUGGACAAGAUCAGGUUUGCUGACGGGAACACCAGAACCUCUGAGAUCAGACUCAACAUGCAGAGAACGAUGCAGAACCAUGCAGCAGUGUUCCGUGCACGGCGACGUUCUGAAGGAGGGAUGUGACAAGAUGGACGCCAUCUACCAGACCAUGGAGGACAUCAAGACAUUCGACCGUGGUAUGGUGUGGAACACUGACCUGGUCGAGUCUCUGGAGCUGCAGAACCUGAUGCUGAACGCGGUCCAGACUAUCCACUCUGCCGAGGCCCGCAAGGAGAGCAGGGGAGCACACGCCCGGGAGGACUACAAGGACCGUAUGGAUGAGCUGGACUAUGCCAGGCCUCUGGCAGGACAGGAGAGGAAGCCUUUCCAUCAGCAUUGGAGAAAACACACCAUGUCCACUGUGGAUCCUAAGACUGGCAAGGUAACUCUGGAGUACCGACCAGUGAUUGACACCUCUCUGGACCAGGAGGAAUGUUCAGCCAUCCCUCCAGCCAUCCGCUCCUAUUAAGACUAUCUCAACAGGAACACUCUUAUUUAUUAUUGCCAGUCUGUCCGCUUCCAGCAAAACCCACCUCGGAUCCAUUUCACUGUAUGACCUUCACUCUGUGUGAGGGAGCACUGUAGAUAGGGAAUUAUUGCUUUCUCACAUGCAGUUUGACUUUCAACCCACAUUGUGCAAGCAAAUUAAUGAAGGUAUUGUGAUUGAAGUUUGUAAAUAUAGAAUUGUUUUAUAAUUGUCUGUUAUAUGAAGUUGUAGAGUAGUUCCCUAUAGGUAUAUAGUUACCUAAAUACUCCCAUUCCAUGUGGCCUUUAUUAUCCGCUGAUACCAUAAUAUUAGGACUCUAAAUGGAAUACUGAAUUUGAAUAUUGUGUAAUGAUUGUAGUUCAGAGUGCUAAGACAUCCUAUUUCCUGUAGAUGUCCCUUCAGCAUCAUUAACACGUAGUCUUUAGGGAUUAUCCUUUCAGGAUCAAUUCAUGUGUACAACUGGCGUGUGAACAGCAAUAUUUCCUGGGAAGUUUGAUUUCACUCUGCUUGCUACAGGUUAUGCACUUUAUGGCAAUUUUUUAAAAUAUACUCAACUAUAGUUGUCUUUGUGCUAUUUACUGGUGGAAUAUAGUGGACAUUAAGACAAUUAGGAUGGGUAAAAUAAAUGAAAUACUAUGUAUGUUACCAAUAAUUAAUUUGUCUUUGCUUUGUUCUUAUGUUCUGUGUAUUAUUUAAAAUGUGUCAUUAAACUUUAAAUCAACUCUA